CCUACGGGAGGCAGCAGUAGGGAAUAUUGCUCAAUGGGGGAAACACUGAAGCAGCAACGCCGCGUGGAGGAUGAAGGUUUUAGGAUUGUUAACUCCUUUUGUUAGAGAAGCUUAUGCCGGUAUCUAACGCAUAAGCACCGGCUAACUCCGUGCCAGCAGCCGCGGUAAUACGGAGGGUGCAAGCGUUACUCGGAAUCACUGGGCGUAAAGAGUGCGUAGGCGGGGUAAUAAGUCAGAUGUGAAAUCCUGUAGGUUAACUACAGAACUGCAUUUGAAACUGUUACUCUGGAGUGUGGGAGAGGUAGGUGGAAUGCUUGGUGUAGGGGUAAAAUCCGUAGAGAUUGAGAGGAAUACUGAUUGCGAAGGCGACCUGCUGGAACAGUACUGACGCUGAUGCACGAAAGCGUGGGGAGCAAACAGGAUUAGAUACCCGAGUAGUC
rnacentral:rRNA from 1 species